rnacentral:rRNA from 1 species
UACGGAGGGGGCCAGCGUUGCUCGGAAUCACUGGGCGUAAAGGGCCUGUAGGCGGUUUGGUAAGUCCUGUGUGAAAUCCCUUGGCUUAACCAAGGAACUGCGCAGGAUACUGUCGAACUAGAGGCCGGGAGAGGGAAGCGGAAUUCCGAGUGUAGCGGUGAAAUGCGUAGAUAUUCGGAGGAACACCGGUGGCGAAGGCGGCUUCCUGGACCGGUUCUGACGCUAUAAGGCGAAAGCUAGGGUAGCAAACAGG